CCUACGGGAGGCAGCAGUGAGGAAUAUUGCGCAAUGGGGGAAACCCUGACGCAGCAACGCCGCGUGGGUGAAGAAGGCCUUCGGGUCGUAAAGCCCUUUCGGACGGGACGAACGCUCCGCGGUGACAACCCGCGGAGCCUGACGGUACCGUAAGAAGAAGCACCGGCUAACUCCGUGCCAGCAGCCGCGGUAAUACGGAGGGUGCAAGCGUUGUUCGGAAUUACUGGGCGUAAAGCGCGUGUAGGCGGCCUUGCAAGCCAGACGUGAAAGCCCCCGGCUUAACCGGGGAAGUGCGUCUGGAACUGCUCGGCUCGAGUACGGGAGAGGGAGGCGGAAUUCCCAGUGUAGAGGUGAAAUUCGUAGAUAUUGGGAGGAACACCGGUGGCGAAAGCGGCCUCCUGGACCGAUACUGACGCUGAGACGCGAAAGCGUGGGGAGCAAACAGGAUUAGAUACCCUGGUAGUCCACGCUGUAAACGAUGGGCACUAGGUGUGGGGGGUAUCCACUCCUCCCGUGCCGCAGCUAACGCAUUAAGUGCCCCGCCUGGGGAGUACGGCCGCAAGGUUAAAACUCAAAGGAAUUGACGG
rnacentral:rRNA from 1 species